rnacentral:rRNA from 1 species
AGUGAACGCUGGCGGUAGGCCUAACACAUGCAAGUCGAACGGCAGCACAGUAAGAGCUUGCUCUUACGGGUGGCGAGUGGCGGACGGGUGAGGAAUACAUCGGAAUCUACUUUUUCGUGGGGGAUAACGUAGGGAAACUUACGCUAAUACCGCAUACGACCUACGGGUGAAAGCGGGGGAUCUUCGGACCUUUCGCGAUUGAAUGAGCCGAUGUCGGAUUAGCUAGUUGGCGGGGUAAUGGCCCACCAAGGCGACGAUCCGUAGCUGGUCUGAGAGGAUGAUCAGCCACACUGGAACUGAGACACGGUCCAGACUCCUACGGGAGGCAGCAGUGGGGAAUAUUGGACAAUGGGCGCAAGCCUGAUCCAGCAAUACCGCGUGGGUGAAGAAGGCCUUCGGGUUGUAAAGCCCUUUUGUUGGGAAAGAAAAGCAGCAGGUUAAUACCCCGCUGUUCUGACGGUACCCAAAGAAUAAGCACCGGCUAACUUCGUG